rnacentral:tRNA from 1 species
GGGCCUGUAGCUCAGUUUGGCUAGAGCACUUCUAUGGCAUAGAAGGGGUCAUGGGUUCAAGUCCCAUCAGGUCCA